UGGGGAAUUUUGGACAAUGGGCGAAAGCCUGAUCCAGCAAUGCCGCGUGUGUGAAGAAGGCCUUCGGGUUGUAAAGCACUUUUGUCCGGAAAGAAAUGGCUCUGGUUAAUACCUGGGGUCGAUGACGGUACCGGAAGAAUAAGGACCGGCUAACUACGUGCCAGCAGCCGCGGUAAUACGUAGGGUCCAAGCGUUAAUCGGAAUUACAGGGCGUAAAGCGUGCGCAGGCGGUUGUGCAAGACCGAUGUGAAAUCCCCGAGCUUAACUUGGGAAUUGCAUUGGUGACUGCACGGCUAGAGUGUGUCAGAGGGGGGUAGAAUUCCACGUGUAGCAGUGAAAUGCGUAGAGAUGUGGAGGAAUACCGAUGGCGAAGGCAGCCCCCUGGGAUAACACUGACGCUCAUGCACGAAAGCGUGGGGAGCAAACAGG
rnacentral:rRNA from 1 species